rnacentral:misc_RNA from 1 species
GAUGAAGAACGUAGCGAAAUGCGAUAAGUAGUGUGAAUUGCAGAAUUCAGUGAAUCAUCGAAUCUUUGAACGCACAUUGCGCCCCUUGGUAUCCCGAGGGGCAUGCCUGUUCGAGCGUCAUUUCACCACUAAAGCCUGGCUUGGUGUUGGGCGACGUCCUCUUUGGGGACGCGCCUCGAAACGCUCGGCGGCGUGGCACCGGCUUUAAGCGUAGCAGAAUCUUUCGCUUUGGAAGUCGGGGCCCCGUCUGCCGGAAGACCUGCUCGCAAGGUUGACCUCGGAUCAGGCAGGGAUACCCGCUGAACUUAAGCAUAUCAAUAAGCGGAGGA